UACAGAGGGGGCAAGCGUUGUUCGGAAUUACUGGGCGUAAAGGGCGCGUAGGCGGCUUGCCAAGUCAGUGGUGAAAUCCCGCAGCUUAACUGCGGAAGUGCCUUUGAUACUGGAUGGCUUGAAUCCGGGAGAGGGAUGCAGAAUUCCAGGUGUAGCGGUGAAAUGCGUAGAUAUCUGGAGGAAUACCGGUGGCGAAGGCGGCAUCCUGGACCGGCAUUGACGCUGAGGAGCGAAAGCUAGGGGAGCAAACGGG
rnacentral:rRNA from 1 species